rnacentral:rRNA from 1 species
AUUGAACGCUGGCGGCAGGCCUAACACAUGCAAGUCGAACGAGUGGCGGACGGGUGAGUAAUGUCUGGGAAACUGCCCGAUGGAGGGGGAUAACUACUGGAAACGGUAGCUAAUACCGCAUACCAUCGGAUGUGCCCAGAUGGGAUUAGCGAGUGGGUGGGGUAAAGGCUCCCCUAGGCGACGAGCCCUAGCUGGUCUGAGAGGAUGACCAGCCACACUGGAACUGAGACAGGGGCCAGAAUCCGACGGGAGGCAGCAGUGGGGAAUAUUGCACAAGGGGGGCAAGCCUGAUGCAGCCAUGCCGCGUGUAUGAAGAAGGCCGUCGGGUUGUAAAGUCCUUUCAGCGGGGAGGCGUUACCCGCAGAAGAAGCACCGGCUAACUCCGUGCCAGCAGCCGCGGUAAUUC